UAAGGAAUAUUGGUCAAUGGACGCAAGUCUGAACCAGCCAUGCCGCGUGGAGGAUGAAGGUCCUCUGGAUUGUAAACUUCUUUUAUCUGGGAAGAAAUCCAUAAAUUCUUUUAUGGUUGACGGUACCAGGUGAAUAAGCACCGGCUAACUCCGUGCCAGCAGCCGCGGUAAUACGGAGGGUGCAAGCGUUAUCCGGAUUCACUGGGUUUAAAGGGUGCGUAGGCGGGUUGGUAAGUCCGUGGUGAAAUCUCCGAGCUUAACUCGGAAACUGCCAUGGAUACUAUCAGUCUUGAAUAUCUUGGAGGUAAGCGGAAUAUGUCAUGUAGCGGUGAAAUGCUUAGAUAUGACAUAGAACACCAAUUGCGAAGGCAGCUUACUACACGAUAAUUGACGCUGAGGCACGAAAGCGUGGGGAUCAAACAG
rnacentral:rRNA from 1 species